CAUCGCCACUCCUCCCUUUUUUCAGCUCCCGCUGGAACUGCCAAAUAAGCAUACGCAUUUUUCUUUCAACUUCAAUUGAAUUUGUUUUCAAUUCUGCCCCUAGUUCAGUCCACGCGUCGUGUUUUUUAUUCCUGUUUUUGAAAUCUAAGAAGGUAGGAUGCCAUAAAACACGUUGCUCGCGAAAUAACUCGAUUAAAUGAGUGGUGAGUUCUUUCGACUAUUCCAUCGCGUGAAAAAAGUAUGGCAAAACUAAAUUCAAUCGCCGAUUCUCCAAUGCGCUGGCUGGCUGGCGCAGCAGUAAAUGUUUAAUAACACAAGUGUGGACAAGUAGCGGCGUGUUAUAUAACAAAGUUAUAUAACUUUCUUUGAUCUUUACCGACACCCAACGGAUAACAUAAAAUUUGCUAUAUAGCAAGAAAAAUGUUGUAUAACAUUGUGUUAUAUGACUUUUUCACUUGAAUUUCUCUAACAUAUUAAAUAACUUAUAAAUAAAUGUAAUAAAUAGAUUUAAGGAAAAAACAGAGAAUCCUUAAUUAGGAAUGGUUUUCUGACAAUUCAUUCAAGUAUUAUUUGCACAAACACAAACCAAAUUAGGUAGAAUUAAUAAUAUUAUAAUGACUGAUGUAGAUAUUAAAUAACUUACUAAAAAUGAGGAAUCUACCUAUUAAAAAACGUUUAACGACUUUUGAAAUGUAUAUCAAUUUACUCAAGGACGGUGCCAUCUCACAUGAUUUAAUAGAUAUUCAAUUACGGCUUGAUAAUAAUAUUAAUCCAAUUCAUGAAUUUGAAAAUAUACAAGGGUUUAUAGAAAGAAAUUGAACUUGAGCGACAGUUUGAUGAGGCUUUUGAAAAAAAAUAAAUUAGUACAUAAUUUAUCAUUUCUAAAGAUUACAUUUCAAAAAGAACAGUUCCUGCAACAAUAGUAAAUUCUACUCGAACUGCUUCGCUCCAAAAUUCUUUAGGAAUAUUAGCGUCUUGCAUCAUGGUCCUUGCUUUGUCCACCAAGCUUCUAUUAAAGCGUUCUGCCUUACCAUUUUGUUCAGGACUGUAAGGUGUUCUAUAGUCAAUAAAUGUCCCAUUCUCCCUGCAAAAUUGCUUUAUUUCAUUUGUAAUGUAUUCCCUUCCAUUAUCACAUCUCAAUGUAGCUAAUUUUAAAUUAAACUUAGCCUGAACCAUUCUCACAUAUUCUCGGAAACAUUCAUACACUCCACUCUUAGCUCUUAUUACAUAAACGUAAACAAAAUUUGGUUAGGUCAUCAUAUUUUAAUUAACAAAUUGCAAUACUACUGUUUCAGGUGAACACCUCUCGUAUGGUUCAAGUCAUACUUACCAACAGAAGUCCGCUUGUAAGGAUUGAUACGACGAUGUCUUUUUGCAAGCCAAUAGAAUUUGGAGUGCCCCAAGGCUCAGUACUAGGCCCUAUUUUGUUUCUUCUACGACACUAGUUUCCCUUGGAGCAACCCUUAUCUCACGGCCCUUCGGACCAUAUCCAGUGACCUAAUCACAAUAACAAAUUAUAUAUGCCCUUUCCUUUUAGGGUACGUGUGGUGCGACUCAAAUUGAGCGAUUCUUCAAACUACAAAAGAAAGCUGUUAGGUAGUUGUUCGGACUAAACAGUAGGGCUCAUGGCAGGGACUAGGUUAAAAGAUUAAAAAUUCUGACUAUUCCUUUCUUUUUAAUCUUUGAAUCCGUUUGACUAAUUUGUAAGCACGCUUCUUCAAUUUCAGAAAGGUCGUUGCACGGCUAUCCACUUCGAACGCGGAGCGCAACCUUUACCUACCCACUCCACGUUUAGAAUUAGUUAAGUUAGUAAGUGUUGAUAUUUUAAAUCGAUAACAUCCUUUCUUGCAUUUCGCAAUAAUUUGAGGGCAUAUUAACAGGAAAGUACAUUCUACUCUGUAAACGAUUUCUAUUCUUAUCAUAAUAUUUAAUCACAGGCAUGCUGCAUACUAAUUUAAUUUUUGCUAUAGACUUAUAUACUAAAUAUUACCCAUUACUAUACCUUUAUUUUAACUCACUGUGAUUUUCUUCUGUAUAUUAAAAUUUUAUUUUAUUUGUAUCUUUAUUUAGUUAUUUUUUGUCUACAAAUUGAAACAAUUUUUAUAAUUAAAUUUACGCAACUAACAAAUUUAGAAAAUGACAUUUUAAAACAUAUUAUAUCACUUGAAGGAAUGAAGCUUUCUUUCCAAAGGAGUCCUUUGGGAUAUGGCAAUUAUUUGAAUUAUUCAUAUCAUUUACAAUAAACUUGAUAAAAUUACUCAAAAAAAUGAAAAGAAUCUUAUCUUCAUGUGAAUUACCUACGCUAUAUACUUUUCUAGACUUUUUAAAAGAAAGACAAGAUGUAUUGGAAUCUUUGGAAGAACCUCAUUCUAAAACUAAAGUACACAAAAAUCAUAAUCAAGCAAAAUAAUCGCCAAAAAUAGAGGGUUGCAGUUAAGUCCAUUUAUCAGUUAAUAAAUUAACAUUUACUUUUGCAAAGGUGAACAUUAUAUUUAUACAUGCAAUGACUUUUCAAAAUUAAACAUAAAUGGAAGAUGGGACGAGGUAAAAGAACUACAGUUAUGUUCAAACUGUCUGAGAAUAGGACAUUUAAAAUAAACGUGCAAUUUAGGUUUAUGUAAGGAAUGCAGACGAAAACUACGAAGAUCUCAAUACAAUGGAAAACAUAAAACAAGUUUAUCAAUGCAAUUCUGUUACAGUUACAUGCAGUUCUGUUACAAACAAAUUUAACGUAUAAUCAACAAAAUAAUUACAAUUCAUCUAUUCUUCUCUCAACUUCAACUUUCAAAGUAAAAGAUUGUUAAGGCAAUUUUCAAGCAUGUAGAGCGUUAUUAGACUCUGGAGCUCAAUCAAAUCUAAUCAGUGAAUCCUGUUGCAAGCGUUUAAACCUAACAUUGAUCCUUGCCAAUUUGCUAAAUCAAUCAAAUAAUCUGCUCUUACAAAAAAUAUAUGUCGUUCCAAUAAUAUCAUCAACCACACCAACAGAACAAAUUGAUAUUUCCUCAACCAAUAUUUCAGAUAACCUUAAUCUAACCGACCCCGAAUUUAAUUUGCCUAAUCAAAUCGACAUAAUUAUUGGGGUCACUCUCUUUUGAAAACUUUUAUUAGAUGGUGAAAUCACUCUAAGUAAAAACCGUCCAAUUUUACAAAACACAAAAUUAGGCUGGAUCAUUUCCGGAUUAAUUUCAAGUUUAAUAAAAAUGUCUAUUCACAAUUUUUCUGAAAACAUAUCUGAUGAUUAUCAAUUACAAAAAUUCUGGAAGCUUAAUGAGUUCAAUGAACCUAUUUCAAUGUCUGAAGAUGACCUUCUUUGUGAAACUCUAUUUAAAGAAAACACUUUACGUAAUCCUAACGGUCAAUUUAUUGUUAAACCUCCAUUUAAAAAACUACCUGAAAUAUUGGGUAAUUCUGAAAAAACAGCUAUUAUAAGAAUCAAGGCGUUGGAGAAAAAAUUUUGGCCAAAUCAGGAUGGUCUCUCAAUGACUUACAGUUAGUAGGCCCUAAAAUCCAGAAUAACAUCUUUGAUAACUAGACUCUAUAAAUAUGUCGUUUCAACUAAUGUCAAAAAUGUAUAGGCAAAUUUUAAUCAUAAACAACAACAAUAGUAAUUUGGAAUGGUAACUCGAAUGAAGACUUUUCAACAUACUAACUCAAUACAGUGACAUAUGGCACCACGUCAGCGUCUUACCUAGCAAUCAGAUGUAUCGAUCAAUUAUUUAUCGAAAACCAAAACUGAUUUCCUAUUGCAUCAAAUACGAUUUUAUCAGACUCUUAUGUUGAUGUCUUACUAACAGGUUCCAAUAAGAUCAAUAAAUUGCAAACUAGAUGUAUCGAUAUUUCAUCUAUUUUAUCAUCAGCAAAUUUCAUUCUAAGAAAAUGGGUUUCAAAUUAUCCUGACAUUAUACAAAAUAUUUAUCUUGAAGAUAUUCCUAAAAAUAUUUUGAAUUUAGACGAAUCUGAAAGUUUUAAAACCCUAGGUGUUCAAUUGGACAGUAAACAAGAUAUUUUAAAAUACAAUAUAAACCUUUCUUGCUCUCGAAUCUCUAUUACUAAGAGAGUAAUUCUUUCCAUUAUAUCCCAAAUAUAUAAUCCACUUGGUCUUCUUAGUCCAUUAAUUAUAUAUAUAGAGAGAAAUGCUUUAUUGUUAAAAAAUUGUCACAAUUUGUAGACAAAAGCUUGUAAAAACAAAAAACAAACAUACAGAUAACUAAAUAAAGAUAAAUAAAUAAAAUAAAAUUUUAAUAUACAGAAGGAAACCACAAUGAGUAACAAAAUUAUAGGUAAUGAUUAAAUUUCAUCAAUUCUCAUUUCCUAUAAUAAUUAAUAUAUAAGUCCAUGCUCUGAAUUAAAUAUCAUUAUUAGUAUUGAAGUCGUUUAUAGAGUAGAAGGCACUUUCCUGUAAAUAUGUCCUCAAAUUAUUGCGGAAUACGAGAAAAGAUGAUAUUGAUUUGAUUUCAAUUGGCGAAAGAAUGUCAACGAAAUUUUUUGCCAGAAACUUUACUAUUAUUUGAAUGCUCGAUAUAUAUCAGAACUUUAUAAUAUUCUAAUGGGGAAUUCAAAUGGAUUCCAAUGAAUUUUUUUUGUACUUGAUUCCGUUUCAAGUUUCGAAUUUUUAUAAUUGAAUGUCUGUAGGAAUUUCUUGGUUGUCUAGGGUUUUUCUUCUUAAAACGCCGAAAAGAAAAAAGAAAAAAAAAAGAAAA